rnacentral:rRNA from 1 species
GAAUUAAUACCGCAUACGCCCUACGGGGGAAAGAUUUAUCGGGGAAGGAUUGGCCCGCGUUGGAUUAGCUAGUUGGUGGGGUAAAGGCCUACCAAGGCGACGAUCCAUAGCUGGUCUGAGAGGAUGAUCAGCCACAUUGGGACUGAGACACGGCCCAAACUCCUACGGGAGGCAGCAGUGGGGAAUAUUGGACAAUGGGCGCAAGCCUGAUCCAGCCAUGCCGCGUGAGUGAUGAAGGCCUUAGGGUUGUAAAGCUCUUUCACCGGAGAAGAUAAUGACGGUAUCCGGAGAAGAAGCCCCGGCUAACUUCGUGCCAGCAGCCGCGGUAAUACGAAGGGGGCUAGCGUUGUUCGGAAUUACUGGGCGUAAAGCGCACGUAGGCGGAUAUUUAAGUCAGGGGUGAAAUCCCAGAGCUCAACUCUGGAACUGCCUUUGAUACUGGGUAUCUUGAGUAUGGAAGAGGUAAGUGGAAUUCCGAGUGUAGAGGUGAAAUUCGUAGAUAUUCGGAGGAACACCAGUGGCGAAGGCGGCUUACUGGUCCAUUACUGACGCUGAGGUGCGAAAGCGUGGGGAGCAAACAGGAUUAGAU